rnacentral:rRNA from 1 species
GAUGAACGCUGGCGGCGUGCCUAAUACAUGCAAGUCGAGCGAACAGACGAGGAGCUUGCUCCUUUGACGUUAGCGGCGGACGGGUGAGUAACACGUGGGUAACCUACCUAUAAGACUGGGAUAACUUCGGGAAACCGGAGCUAAUACCGGAUAAUAUUUCGAACCGCAUGGUUCGAUAGUGAAAGAUGGCUUUGCUAUCACUUAUAGAUGGACCUGCGCCGUAUUAGCUAGUUGGUAAGGUAACGGCUUACCAAGGCAACGAUACGUAGCCGACCUGAGAGGGUGAUCGGCCACACUGGAACUGAGACACGGUCCAGACUCCUACGGGAGGCGGCAGUAGGGAAUCUUCCGCAAUGGGCGAAAGCCUGACGGAGCAACGCCGCGUGAGUGAUGAAGGUCUUCGGAUCGUAAAACUCUGUUAUUAGGGAAGAACAAACGUGUAAGUAACUGUGCACGUCUUGACGGUACCUAAUCAGAAAGCCACGGCUAACUACGUG